GGCCCGCCUGGUGACGGAAUACCAGGUUGAAGGACGUAGGUAUAGGGACGGUAGUCAAGUACGCCGACCCUGCUGAACUCCGAUAGUACCCCAAGCCCCCGGGCGAGGGGAUAGCGGCCCUAACCAUGCUCCCAAGAAAACCCGCUAAGCGUUCAAGGUUACGCUACCCGUACCGCAAUCCGACACAGGUAGUCGAGGAGAGAAUCCUAAGGUGCUCGAGUGAAUCACGGCCAAGGAACUCGGCAAAAUGGCCCUGUAACUUCGGGAGAAGGGGCGCUUCCUCCAAGCAAUUGGAGAAGCCGCAGUGAAAAGGCCCAGGCGACUGUUUAACAAAAACACAUGGCUUUGCAAAAUCGAAAGAUGAAGUAUAAGGCCUGACACCUGCCCGGUGCCGGAAGGUUAAGAGGGGAGCUUAGUCGCAAGGCGAAGGCUUGAAUCGA
rnacentral:rRNA from 1 species